rnacentral:lncRNA from 1 species
GGGCAUGUGAUGAUAAAUGAUCAUUGGGCUGCAUUUGUCCUUAGCUAAUUUAUCCUUGGUCUAGAGAGAAAGUUUCUGGCUUUUUUUUUUUUUAGAGGAAAGCUGGAAAGGUGCUUGAGGCCUAAUAUCUUUGCUUGGUCUUUUUUGGGCACUGGGCCCUGCAUUUUCCACCUGGCAAUGCUGUCUGGGGCUUGUUCCAGGCGCUCUGUGGGCCUCGUGCCGCCUGUGCUGGCCGGAGCCAGCGUGGCGAUCAGACGUCUGGGUGUGCCCGGCACGACCCCACCUCGCCGCUCCCCUGAGCCGUCCUUCCCCUGCAGAGGGGCCAAGAAGCACCCCUGGGAGGCCGUGAGUGUCAGCAAGAAAGGUGCUGAAACUGCGUUUUCUUCUUGAGUUCCGUGUUUCAGGGAGAGAAUCAUGAAGAAACAGACUAAAGGACUUUGUUGCAAGCUACGGUCAUAAAGAAGGACACGUGGACUCUGCACCAGUCCCCGACGCUGCCUGCGGCAUCUGAUUCUGCCAGUGGCUUUCGAGUACAUGGAAGAUCUGCAUCAUAGUU